UCUCUCCUUUCAUGACGACCCUCGAGAGUCGGCGGGUCUCCUCACUCGUGGUGGCGAUUCUCUCACCCAGUGUGAUGAUUCUCGCACAACGCUUGCUGCCAAAUUUUUCAUGCAGCUCUUCUUUCCUGAAUUCAUAUCCAUCUUUCCCCCCUUUUGUUUUCUCAGUCUCGUUUGUCCCAGUUUCCACAUCUUCGAUUUAAGAUUCUAUUGGGACAUCGACAACUUACCAUUUGAAAGUGAUGUAUCCAACUGGUUAUGUGCGGCCUUUAAGCUCGGGUGGAAACACUAGGUUUUUCUCUUUGCAAUGCUUUGGUUCACUUGAUGUUGGAGAAGAUUGGUUAUUUUGGUCUUGGUGGCUGGGACUUUCAACGUUUGAAUGCUUGGUUCGGUUUGGGCCUGUUCUGCUCUUUGUUGUUGGUACUUUUCUAGUUUUAAUUUUGUUUAGUUUGUGAAUCAGCUUGUUGUAAGUGUAAGCUCUUGCGCUUUUUGGAUGAAAUUUUGACCCCUCACAAAAAAUGUAUGUGUCUUUGAUAUAGAUUAGCUCCAGUAAUAGGUAAGUAAUUUCCUAAUACCAAGGUGGGUUGGAUUCAUUUCGUUGUCCUAGAUGUGUGCUUCCAUAACUCCAUCGCUCUUGUAUGUCUAUGUGAUAGGUGGAUCUCAAAACUAUUUUUCAGUGGCCGUGUUUAAUAUGGUUCAAGUGUAAUAGUUGUGUUUUGCUUGCUUAUGUUGUGUGAUUUAUGCGUGAUUUAGUUCAGGGCAGAGACUUGCAGUUUGUUCUUGUUCAUCAACUCUUCUUAUGGGUUACAUUGAUUGCAUCAUAAGCCAACUGAAAAACAGGUUUCCCUGCCUAGAUCUCACACCAAAGCAGAAAAGUUCCAAAUUUCCCCAGCACUAGUGAGUUACACAGCGGAACUUCAUGAUUUUCUCAAUAUGACUCCAACCGGAUAUUCUGUAGUAUAGACAUGGAGAUUCUUACUACAGUUGCUGGAGACAGUUCCCGAGUAUGCAGUUGAACCUCGACAGAUGAGUGGCAUCCACCACCUCAACAAUAGGUGGAGCAGGCUGCUCAACGUGCGAUGUCUCCACCUCAUCCUCAUGGUAAACCUCAUCCACAGGAGGGAUCAUACCUCUUCCUCUGGUCCUACCCCUGCCUCUGGGUCUACCUUGGCCCCUAGCUUUGCCUCCUUGUGACUCCAUCACCUAAGGAGCAUAGCACACUUGGUUAAUACUUGCAUAACUCCU